rnacentral:misc_RNA from 1 species
GAUUUGAAUUGACGAAAACAUAUACCAGCAUUCUGUAUAAGGCUCUUCUUUGAUCUAGGAUCGACUACAAAUCCAGCCUCAAUUAAUUUAUAAAUUUUAUCUUUUGUCUUCGUUGGCACCUUUUUCCAUGUAUCGUACACAAUUAAUGGAACCACAAAGUGGUUCCAAUGAAACUCUUCAGCUUCGUUGCCCAAAUGGUUGGUCGUGUUCAUUAUACUCAACCACUCUUCUACGACCCUCGCUG